GAUGAACGCUGGCGGCGUGCUUAACACAUGCAAGUCGAACGAUGAAGCUGGAGCUUGCUCUGGUGGAUUAGUGGCGAACGGGUGAGUAACACGUGAGCAACCUGCCCCUGACUCUGGGAUAACAGCCGGAAACGGCUGCUAAUACCGGAUAUGCACCAUGAACGCAUGUUCUGUGGUGGGAAAGAUUUUUUGGUUGGGGAUGGGCUCGCGGCCUAUCAGCUUGUUGGUGAGGUAAUGGCUCACCAAGGCGUCGACGGGUAGCCGGCCUGAGAGGGUGACCGGCCACACUGGGACUGAGACACGGCCCAGACUCCUACGGGAGGCAGCAGUGGGGAAUAUUGCACAAUGGGCGAAAGCCUGAUGCAGCAACGCCGCGUGAGGGAUGACGGCCUUCGGGUUGUAAACCUCUUUUAGCAGGGAAGAAGCGAGAGUGACGGUACCUGCAGAAAAAGCGCCGGCUAACUACGUG
rnacentral:rRNA from 1 species